ensembl:lncRNA
ACGUAGGCUGCUUCAAUGAGCUUCCAAUGGCAAAUUAACGAACAGAAGUACACACUCCUUUAAGUGUAGGCAGGUGGACGAAUGACCAAGGUGGAGCCGGAGGGAUGAGGGAGCCUGGCGGAGCUGGUGGGCUAACGGGCCACGGUGGAGACAAGGGAGCCAGGAGCCAAGGUCCUAUGUAUUCCUCAUGCAUGAAGAAAAGAAGUUUGAAUCCCAGGAGCUCUAAAACGUUAGAUUCAACUAAUGAAUGCAGCCAAGGAAAACAUGAAGAAUAGAAAAGCACAUUGCUGGAAAAUAAAGUGGAAAAUAAUGCAUGCAGCAUGUAUCCAUGGCAACGCUCAUCUGCGUAGAGACAAAGCCAAUGGGAAGAAUUGCUUUUGGACCCCACAUCUGACAACCAGAGACGCAUACACACGGAAAGAGCACUGCAUCUUUACAUUUGUUCAGUUAAAAUAAACAUAUUUUGCUCCUUACAACAUGUCUGUUUUCUUUGGUUAACCUGAAAGUAAAAGGCCCGGGGUCUGUGUCGGAGGUAGAGCGAUGACUGACCAAGGCUCGAGGGACGAGUGAGCCCAGUGGAACCUGAGGGGUGAUAAUGGUGACAAUGGUGGAACCGACGGAGCGUGGAGCCGACGCCUCAACAGACCUGGGUGGAGUCAUGGGCUCAGAGGCUUGACGUGGAGAAGGAGGAUCCGUGCACAAUGGCUGAGUUGAGGUCAGGUUUUUUUUUUUCUGUUGUUCUGUCUUUUCCAUAUUCGCUGUGUAUACUGGAUUUGUCCCGGCCUUCCAGUGGUUCUGAGGAGGGUUUGGACUGGCGAGCCUCCCUUGAGUUUGUUCUUGGAUCUUUCUGUUGAAGAAGUAUUCACACUGAUUGAACUGCGAAUGGUAGGAAAAAGACUAACUUUCCUCAUCUUUUUUUUUUUUUUUCCCGGAUGGAGACCUUUUUCAUUACCAACAGAAAAAGGACAAUUAUUAUUAUUUUUUUUCCUCUAAAAACUUUCCAAAGCACUCUUUCACAAGGACUGCACAUUCUGAUUGGAUUCCAUCUGAAAAAAAAAAAAAAACAUUUGUUGUGUAAUUGGGUUGUAUGUUUUUUAUUUGGGAUUUACCUUGUUGAAACCCAAAGAGAAAAAAAAAUGAGACCUAAAGUGUUGAGAUCUUACAUUCUGGUUGAAAAA